CACACACGCUGGACAGGGAAAAGGGGGCCGGACUGUGUCCGCUUUUCUUCCUACAAAAACCUUCAGAGUUGACAGAGGACAGUCUCAGCCGAGACAGCGGAAAGAAGACUUCAGGGAAGACAAGACCACAUUAAAAGCUUGGUCCUGCGAAAAACUUUAAAAAGUGUUUUCAUCAGUAGUUUCGUCCUGCUCUGGACACGGAGAACACCAAAAAAAAAAAAAAAAAAAAAAAAAAAAUGAUCGGAAGCUGAAGAAUUUUUAUCCUGACCUCCAUCCGACCUCUUCAAGAUAAAUGUUUUCCUCACGAGAGACGCCGCUAAAAUCACCGUGAAAGACAAAAAGGGGCACAACUCCUCCGUUGUCCUCUUCUGUCUUACUUUUCAGGUUUGUGUCAUAUUUGUACUACUGAGGAAUGAGUACGGCUCCAGACAGGAAGUGGGGAGCGGCUCGUCUCCGAUUGGCUGCUUUUCCUAACCCGGUGACCUUGUUCAUGACCGUCCCACUGGGGCUGGGACACACUGGAGCAGGGAAAGGAAGAGAGAAGAAAGAAAAAAGA